GGACACGUGGCGCAAUCGGAUAGCGCAAGGGUUUUCUACACCUUGGGUUGCAGGUUCGAAUCCUGCCGUGUUCGCCA
rnacentral:tRNA from 1 species